rnacentral:lncRNA from 1 species
UUAAAGGAGUCUACAUCUCAACUACGGAUUCCAUAAAGAAGCAGAUGCAUUCAGUUAGGUCCAGUCUGUUAAAAAUGAAGAAUGUUAGAAUGUGCACUAUUGAGCACAAAGGAGGAGGAGGGUUCAGUGAGGAGUUUUGGGGAAAGCUGAAAUGUCAAAGGCUGAUGAAUUUUACUGGGCAAUAGCACCCGCCAAGACUGAGAGGAGUGAAACAGCACAACCUGGGUGAAGAACUUCAGACCAUUUGGUCUUUCAAGAGCAAAGGGUGACACUGGACAUACUGGAGAAGUAUGAUUAUAAGGCAUGUCAAAGAGUGGGGACAUAAACCAGACAUGGGAGAGAGAAGCUGUCUCCUCUGCAGGAUAAACAGUAUUGCUGCUCUGAAGACAGCUUGAGUAACACUGUUCUUGGACAUUGAUGGGCUUGUCUAAUUAAGGGAGAAAAAUCGAUCUUCUGUGAGAACACAUUGAGCUAAUAUGGAAAGAGAAGCAGAGAAGACAGAUGAUAAGAACGUCUUGAUGCUGGUUGAGUCUCCUCUGCAUCCAGUCAUUCCUGAAGCCAGCUCUGAUUCUUCCCCCUCCACCACCGAAAACGAUGGAGGAAGAAAGAAG